rnacentral:lncRNA from 1 species
AAAUUUAGUACUAAUCUUCUUCGAGUAGCUCCAAGUUGAGUUGCAUCACCGCUUCUUCCACUGCCUGGAUCAUUGCUCCAGGGAAAACAUCCGGCUGCAGCUCUCGGAGUAAGAUAUGGAGCCGGCCCGCUUUCGAAGUCGUUGUCGUUCCAAACUUGAGAGCAUAGAAAGAGAGCGCCAGAGACAACACGUCGUCCUCCUCCGCAUACGGCA